rnacentral:rRNA from 1 species
GACGAACGCUGGCGGCGUGCUUAACACUGCAAGUCGAGCGAGAGAAGUUCCUUCGGGAAGGACUCUAGCGGCGGACGGGUGAGUAACACGUGGGUAACCUGCCUCAUAGAGGGGAAUAGCCUUUCGAAAGGAAGAUUAAUACCGCAUAAGAUUGUAGUAUCGCAUGAUACAGCAAUUAAAGGAGUAAUCCGCUAUGAGAUGGACCCGCGUCGCAUUAGCUAGUUGGUGAGGUAACGGCUCACCAAGGCGACGAUGCGUAGCCGACCUGAGAGGGUGAUCGGCCACAUUGGGACUGAGACACGGCCCAGACUCCUACGGGAGGCAGCAGUGGGGAAUAUUGCACAAUGGGGGAAACCCUGAUGCAGCAACGCCGCGUGAGUGAUGACGGUCUUCGGAUUGUAAAACUCUGUCUUCAGGGACGAUAAUGACGGUACCUGAGGAGGAAGCCACGGCUAACUACGUGCCAGCAGCCGCGGUAA